CAGGCUGGAGUGCAGUGGCGCGAUCUUGGCUCACUGCAAGCUCCGCCUCCCGAGUUCAAGCAAUUCUCCUGCCUCAGCCUCCCAAGUAGCUAGGAUUACAGGUGCCCACUACGACAUCUGGCUAAUUUUUGUAUUUUUAGUAAAGAAGGGGUUUCAUCAUGUUGGCGAGGCUGGUCUCGAACUCCUGACCUCAUGAUCCGCCCGCCUCGACUCCCCAAAGUGCUGGGAUUACAGGCAUGAGCCACUGAGCCUGGCUGUGUUUUUCUUUCUCAUUGCAGAGACAAAGCGGGUUACUUCUGGUUCAUUCACGCAUCCAAGUCCUGACAUGUCUCAAGGGCAUUACUGUGCUUGUCAGGGAGGGAGGGCCCAGUCCAUCCUCUGGUUAUUCCCAUCCAUCCCCUAGGCCUUCCCUUGGCUCACCCUGCCCCCUGCCAGGCCCCUUUGCUUGCUGGCCUGACGGGGCUGGGUCUCUGUGGCUGGAGGAGAUGGCCUCUGCCCCACCCCCCUCGACUGUCCUGGGCACAAAGGAGAACAGCUUUGCCUGGAAAGGGCCCAAGACACCCUGAGAAACUUGUAGCGAUGGGACCUGCCUCCUGCAGCCCUCCACCUGCGUCAUCCUUCCUGUGCCCUCCUUGUCUACACCAGGGCCAUGCGGUCACCCCUGAGGGCUCUAAUGUUACUAGGCAAAGGCCUGAGUCUGAGCAGGACAGGGUGGGGCAAGCUCCAACCCAAAGUCUACUCUAUUAUCAGGAGAAGCUCCAUGCUAUCCAGAGGACCCCGACACACACCCCAAGCCAAUUUCCCUUCAUCCCCAGGAAAGUGUGCCACCAACUGAGGAGGAAAUGUAUCUGCUUCUCUUCCUAGCACUCCCGUGAACUCAACCAGGAAGAUACUGCUGUUUGGCUUUAAAAAUAGUACAUUCUAGCUGGACUUUUAUGGUCUUGUGAAGAACACUGUGCUCAUGCCCUCCCACACCUGGCCUCUGCCCCUGCCUGGCCCUGUCCAGCUGCCCACAUCAGCUCUGCACAAGCUCUUCAGGGUCCCUCUGCAGAGACGUGGUUCAAGGCAGAUUUACGAGUUCAGCCUUGGCCGAGGCCUUCUCCCCAUGGCUCCCAUCCACAUUCCAGCUGUUCUCCCACAUCCCAGGCAGCUCGGGGCUGGGAUGUUCUGUGUCUCUUUUUCUACCUCUACCACAACUGGCUCAGUCGCACCCCCAGCCCUAUUUCAGCUCUGCCCUGGCCAGCCCUGUGGAGGUACAGGGUCCUGUCAUGCCAGAACCCAGACCCCAACCAUUCCCAGCCUGCCCAGAGCUCACUUACAUUCAUGAUAACAACAAUGGUGUGUGUCUAAGGAUAACCUUGUUGGGACUCUAGUUGGUCAUGCCCGUCCCCUCCCACUCUGAAGGGCUGAAAUUUAACCGAAAGGUAAUUUGUUCCAUCUGGACUUCAGGUGCCAGGUUUGAGGCUACAUCCGAUCUGGAAAGUUAUUUUCAGUGUGUGUAGAUUCUAUGAUUAGUCCUCAAGUUAUUUCUUUAGGGCCAGAGAUGAGUUUCACCGAAGCUAUAUCACAUUUCUGGCACCCCAUGGUAGGACUUAGAGAAAGCCCCCAAGGACGAUCUCCAUGAGGCGGAGCCGGCCCUAGGGAGCUAAUAGACUAUAGAAAUAACUCCAGAGCCAGGGAAGCCUCGAACACAAAUUUUACAAGGAGCCAAUUGAGUGGUUGAGCAGUUGAAGGCAGGCCUAUCUUGUUUUUGCUUGAGGGCAGGUUUCUAACAUAAUGGAAAGAGAAGACUGUAAUGAUCACCCCCUAUAUACCUGAUCUUCUCUUAAGGUCCUUCAAGGAUGUAAUUGAUUCUGUCAAUAUCCUUCAUAUUUAAGGCCAUAAGUUGCUGCUUGGUUCAAUUAAGGUAGAAUUGCUUCUGGUUAAGAUCUCAAACUAGGCAUCUGGGACUAUCUAAAAGUUUCUCUGGAAACUGGAAUGUAAGCAAUGCAAGAUGUAUGGCUUAACCUGUAGAUAUAACUCAUGUCAAGAAAACAGUGGGGUUGGGCAUGGUGGCUCAUGCCUGUAAUCCCAGCACUUUAGGAGGCUGAGGUGGGAGGAUCACUUGAGGCCAG
rnacentral:lncRNA from 1 species